CAAGUCCCUGGUAGGUUCGUCCUUGCUCUGAGGGAAGAGUGUGGGCCACAGGCCAUGGGGACACUCUGAGGAUGUGGGUGCUGCCCAUCUUGAAGUUUCUCCCCACCCCUCUCCGGAGCUGCUACCAUUGUCCUUUGCCCUCGGAGUGCUCUCCUCCCACCCCCGCCGCCUCUUGUUCUCUUUCUCCCUUGAGCCGUUAGAAUGGCAGGGAGCCCAGCCAGGGCCUGGACGGCGGCCUCAGCUCCCUGUUCUCAAUAAUUGUGUGUGUGUGCAUGUGUGCAUGUGUACGUGUGAGUGCCUGUGUGUGUGCAUUGUGUGUAGGGGCUGGGGCUGGAGUCGACAACAGAUCAGAGCACAGGAGUAGAGCGCUUCUGGGAGGGUGGGGCCACCCGUGAGUCACGUCCUGCACCCUGGAGCCCAGAGGACCCUUCGCUCAAACCCACCACCAGCUGGCAACACCGGACCAGACCAGCCGGAGCCGCUUUCUUCGCUGCGCAGAGGAGCCUGGGAGAAGCCAGAGGUGUAAGUCAAGCUGUGGAGGGACUGGGUGUGGCUGAGCCCCGUGACAAGUGGGAGGAGCCAGGGAUGCUUGGGAGGGGAGGCACUGUGCGCGAGAGAGGAGGGAAAGGGGAAGCGUUCGUGCCUCUCUGCCCCCUGUCCCCCUCUUGCUGCAUAGUAGCCACAUCCAUGUCUCUUGUACCCUGCAAUCUGGAGGCCACUGCCAGAAGCUGGAAAUCUCAAGUAGAGCAGCAAAAGGCAUCUUCCUGGAGACAGGAAGGUAGGCACUGUGGAAUCAGCGGUGCGUAGAACAGUGAGGAUUUGGGGCUGAACCCAGCCCAGGUGGGCCAAGCCGUGGCACCAGCCGGACUGCAGUCUGAUGGAACUUCCCCUUCCUGCCCAGCAGAUGGCGAGCGUGUGCUGCUGGUGCCUCUUUCCAAAGGACGUUGAAUUGCUUGACAGGUGUUCUUUACUUUAUGAAUGAAGCCAGAGCAGCCCACCUUCCUGCAUCUCUACCACCAUGGCACCAUGCCCUGUGAUGGGUGGGCUGGAGUCAAAUAUGUAGCAGGCAGCCAGGGUCAGUUUGUGGCCACUGCUGCCCCCUCUUCCUACAGUCUCCUCACUGAGUGCCCCUUCCCUGUUGGGUUCAACACAUCUGUGCUCCUGUAAGCCCUCAGCCUCCUCGUUCUCUUCCUCAACUUCUACCACCAGACACAUCUGAGAAGCAAGCAAGAGAGGCUGAACUAGGAGCAGGACCCAGGGACUGAAACCAGCACAGCAUCCCCACAGAGAAUUGGGUGGAAGGCAGCAUGGCUUCCAGCUUACUGGUGCUGAGCAGAUUGCUCUGGGUCUCCAUUGUAUCCUCUGAAGGAAGGAGGAGGAUUGCCUUCUGUCCAGAUCUCAGGAUCAAACAAAUAGGUCCAAUUUCCUGUGCUCACUUCAGUUAGAGCACUUCUCAUGUGACUUUGUAGCUUUGUGUGCAUCUCCUUCCUCUACUAGACCUAAGCCCCUCACGGGAGGGACUCUCUUAUUCUUGAUGUUCCCCACACCUGGAAUUUCAAUAAACAUCUCAAUAAACGUGUGUGUUUGGAUCCUUGGAUCCCAUGACUGCCGUCAUAACCUUGGUGAAGAAGAGGGCUGGGAGUAGGAAAGAGGUCAAGGUUCGCUUGAUCUCUAACCCUAUAGUGGGAAAUUGUGACGGAGAAUAUUCAAGAGUGGGUGUGGGUCUGUUUGAUUUCAGGUGUAGCUGUGUAAAUAGUUAGCCCUGCAUAUAUUUUUGUCUACUCACAACUGCCUGCAUGUGUAUUCAUAGAGUUGUGUGAUUCUGUGUAUGUGCCUGGGGAGUGGGAGAGGGCCAUGUGCACAUGUCUGAAUACUUGUUUUCAAAUAUACAUGCAUGUUUCCAUUUGGGUUUCUCUCCAUUUGUGUUGUUUGCCUGCCUCUUCUGUAAGUCUCUGAAAGUGCCACAUUGGCAAAUAAAAGCCACUGGGAUCAAUAAUUCUCCUGUUCUGAUGGGAGACAUGGAAGCCCACUGAGAAAUCUCCGAAUACAUGUUCCACUAAGAGCUUCCAAAAAUAAAUGGGAAAAAAGGAGAAAUGGGGCACACCCAUCUUCUUCACAGAGAGGGAAACUGAGGACCAGCAAAGGGGAAUAUAUGACUGAGAUACUAUGGCAGAAGCAAAUAUUGGCUGAGCUGUUCAAACCCAGAAUAGGAUGGGUUUCUUGAAAGCAGUUUGCCUGGGAGCUGUCUCUAUGUCUCCAGUAUGAUGACUUUUCUCCUUUAUAAUUGCCCUUCGGCUGUUUUUCAUCUCUAGGUAAGUUCUUAUUUUGCCAUGCCUCAAUAGUCAAGAAAAUUAAAGAAUUGCUGAAGGUUAUGCAGUGCUAUUUGGGGACUGUGUCUCCAUCUGGCCUUUUAGUUAAUCAACCCAAGGCCAGGCAAGGCUACAUCCUGUGGACAGAAUACUCAGAGAAAAUUCC
rnacentral:lncRNA from 1 species